rnacentral:rRNA from 1 species
GCUCAGGACGAACGCUGGCGGCGUGCUUAAUACAUGCAAGUCGAGCGAGCGGAACUAACAGAUUUACUUCGGUAAUGACGUUAGGAAACCGAGCGCCGGAUGGGUGAGUAACACGUGGGGAACCUGCCCCAUAGUCUGGGAUACCACUUGGAAACAGGUGCUAAUACCGGAUAAGAAAGCAGAUCGCAUGAUCAGCUUUUAAAAGGCGGCGUAAGCUGUCGCUAUGGGAUGGCCCCGCGGUGCAUUAGCUAGUUGGUAAGGUAAAGGCUUACCAAGGCGAUGAUGCAUAGCCGAGUUGAGAGACUGAUCGGCCACAUUGGGACUGAGACACGGCCCAAACUCCUACGGGAGGCAGCAGUAGGGAAUCUUCCACAAUGGACGCAAGUGUGAUGGAGCAACGCCGCGUGAGUGAAGAAGGUUUUCGGAUCGUAAAGCUCUGUUGUUGGUGAAGAAGGAUAGAGGUAGUAACUGGCCUUUAUUUGACGGUAAUCAACCAGAAAGUCACGGCUAACUACGUGCCAGCAGCCGCGGUAAUACGUAGGUGGCAAGCGUUGUCCGAAUUUAUUGGGCGUAAAGCGAGCGCAGGCGGAAGAAUAAGUCUGAUGUGAAAGCCCUCGGCUUAACCGAGGAACUGCAUCGGAAACUGUUUUUCUUGAGU